rnacentral:rRNA from 1 species
UCCGUAGGUGAACCUGCGGAAGGAUCAUUACAGAAAGUAAACGCGGAUCAAACCGCGAACUUCUAAACCUUUGACGAUUGACUCAUGUUGCCUCGGCGGGUUCUCCCGCCAGAGGAUACAUCAAAACUCCUGUUUUAACGGUGUUGUCUGAGCUACAAGCAACGAAUCAAAACUUUCAACAACGGAUCUCUUGGUUCUGGCAUCGAUGAAGAACGCAGCGAAAUGCGAUAAGUAGUGUGAAUUGCAGAAUUCAGUGAAUCAUCGAAUCUUUGAACGCACAUUGCGCCCCUUGGUAUCCCGAGGGGCAUGCCUGUUCGAGCGUCAUUUCACCACUCAAGCCUGGCUUGGUGUUGGGCGACGUCCCCUUUGGGGACGCGCCUCGAAACGCUCGGCGGCGUGGCACCGGCUUUAAGCGUAGCAGAAUCUUUCGCUUUGGAAGUCGGGGCCCCGUCUGCCGGAAGACCUAUUCGCAAGGUUGACCUCGGAUCAGGCAGGGAUACCCGCUGAACUUAAGCAUAUCAAUAAGCGGA